UACGUAGGUGGCAAGCGUUGUCCGGAAUUACUGGGCGUAAAGCGUGCGUAGGCGGUUUGUUAAGUCCGUUGUGAAAGCCCUGGGCUCAACCUGGGAAUUGCAGUGGAUACUGGCGAGCUAGAGUGCGGUAGAGGAUGGUGGAAUUCCCGGUGUAGCGGUGAAAUGCGUAGAGAUCGGGAGGAACAUCCGUGGCGAAGGCGGCCAUCUGGACCAGCACUGACGCUGAGGCACGAAAGCGUGGGGAGCAAACAGG
rnacentral:rRNA from 1 species